UCCCUGGUGGUCCAGUGGCUAAGACUCUGUGCUACAAAUGCAGGGGGCCCGGGUUCAAUCCCUGGUCAGGGAA